GGAGAAGGAAGGUGUCCGGUGGCGCCGCUGGUCUUCAAAACCAGUCUGGGGAUCGUAAGGUCCCCGGAGGGUUCGACUCCCUCCCUUCUCCGCCA
rnacentral:tRNA from 1 species